UCAUUGACGAAUACAUAGACCGAAAUGUCCGGUACAAAGCCAUCAGAAAAUCGGGCACCAUGUCUUCUUCUUCAUUUUGAAGAAAAUACCCCUCGUGGGUGACGAAUUACAUAAAUAUUUUACGAGCGCUGACUUACCCCUCUUGACGUUUUGACAGUUUGUUUGUUUUUCUCCCUCACCUUGUGACGUCGUUUCGGUUCGUUUGUUGUUUGUUCGUUUCGUUACUCAGUUGGAGCGUGAGUUCGACCGUUUUGGUGCCAUCAAAAAGAUCGAAUAUAACAAAGGGGACACCCAGGCCUACAUGUACGAUUCUAUUGAUGCUGCUACGGCUGCUGUGAAGGAAAUGCGUGGAUUCCCGUUAGGGGCACCGGAUCGUCGUAUUCGUAUCGAUUUUGCUGAUAACGGAACAACACCAUCGUUCUCAAAGCGCAGUGGAGGUUUUGAGGAAGGCGGUGAGUAUCGUCGCGCCCCCGACUACGAAUAUCCGGAAGGUGGUGCAUCAUACGAGGAAAAUUCAUUGUACGGCUAUGGUGGAAGACCGUUCCGCGGCAGAGGAGGAUUCCGCGGGCGUGGUGGUUUCCGUGGCAGUUUUCAUAGUGAUGGCCCACCGCACCACGGGGACAAUGAUGAAUGGCGUCGAUCAGGAGCCGAUGGUGAAUCCUAACGGACGGAAACAACAAAAUAGUGGACAGCCUGAUGAAGGACGAGGUAGGUAAACACCACCUUCGUAUUACUCUGCUACUACGCCUCGAUCAACCCAAGUUGGAAGAUGUGCAGUAGCGCAUAUCGACGUCAUCGUCGCACGCAAUCUUCCUCGGCAUGCCGGGAUCGACGUCAUCGGUAGCAUCGUCGGAUGAUGUCAGCGUUCAGACGCGUCCACUGCGUAAUCUCGUGUCCUACCUGGAGCAGAAAGAAGCGGCCGGCGUUAUAUCCUUACUCAAUAAGGAAACGGAAGCAACCGGUGUGCUCUACUCAUUCCCGCCAUGCGAUUUUUCGACAGAAUUGUUGAAACGAACAUGUCACAACCUCAACCUCAGGAGGGACUGAAGGAAGACCAUCUGGUAAUCGUAGUGGUCCGAGGAGGAAUCGCCUGAGUUGCGGAUGAGGGCGCAGAUAACACAUAAGAUCAAACGAGUGCGACAACGGGCCGUGGUUGGAGGCAACAAAUAAGAAGCUGCUGACCUUUUCCUUCCAGUCCAAUCCUUUCAUUUGAUGGCUAUGCAUAGUGGUGCGAAACGUCAGCUUUCCUGGAUUGUUCAACACUAGAGUACAUCUGUGUCCUGUUAAUACUACACCACAGAGAUUAUUCAACACGAAAAGUGUAUCUCCUGAUGUACGAAUCCCCGAGAUAGUAAAGUGUGAGAAAUAAAACCGUAUCGGUGAAAGUAGCCUUGGACCACUUGUUUGGGAUUUGGAGUAUGAUAAAAAAAAUUAAGCCUGACGACGGAUGACAAAAGCUAUAUUUUUCCCACGGGUCAAGAAAACGAUUCAGAAAUGGAAAAGCUCGUGCUCCUUGCUGACAAGGAAUGGAAAAAAAACUCAACAUUCUAAUUCAUUUUACUCCGAACGAGUCGAUUCUGUAUUGGCUACAAUAAUAGUCCGACUGAUGGGAACAGCUGAUAGGGAACAGGCAGUAAGCAUGAUGGCGUUAUGGUUACGAAGUUUAGUCAAUGUAACUGCUGCUCAAUCAAAGCGAUCGAGAAAUUAUCAAGCAGAAUGUGAUCCAGAAAGAGAGCAACUCAGAGUCACAUAAAUAACCUGGAGAUUCCAGUACUUUGAGCAGUAGGAUAAAGGAUUAUCUUUGAUAACUCUUCUGCUUCUACUGCAAUCCAUACGUGAGGAGCAAAGCAAGCGGACCAGUAACGAAAUCUAGAAACUCCCAAUAGCUGCCAACGAAGCCAAUGGUGAUGAAACGGGGGCCGGCGGAGGAGAUCAAAUCCCAAGUUGGGGCUCAGCGCUCUUGUGAUCGAAUUUGGCCCUCUAUCGAAAUCGAGUACUUUUGUUCCUUUGAAGUGGUGUAUGACAUAUGCUGAUGCCAGUAGUCGUGAGUAUGUGCACGAUAGAGGAAGGCCUGUCCUGGUGCUGCUACUAAACUGCUUAUCAAACUUGUUCUAUGCACAAAAUUGAAAGCCAACUUUAUCCGGAAGAAUAAUGGAAUUCUGGUGGUGAAAUAUGGACAAUCUCAGGACAAUCAAUAUUUAACUUUCUAUAUAAGUUAUAUGAACGCUGAGUUUGGCCUAAAAUGCACCCCGUGAGGUACCGUGAGAGAAAAAGCAGAGCGACUUAAUAUCUAAAGGUUUAAACAUCUGUAUUCUUUUCAAUCCUAUGGCAAUAAAAUUAAUUGUAUAUUUGAA